ensembl:rRNA 5S_rRNA 5S ribosomal RNA
GCUUACGACCACACCGGCCUGAGUACGCCUGAUCUCGUCUGAUCUCGGAAAGCUAAGCAGGGUCGGGCCUGGUUAGUACUUGGAUGGGAGACUUCCUGGGAAUACCAGGUGCUGUAAGCU